rnacentral:rRNA from 1 species
GCUUCUUCUGCGGGUAACGUCAAUGAGCAAAGGUAUUAACUUUACUCCCUUCCUCCCCGCUGAAAGUACUUUACAACCCGAAGGCCUUCUUCAUACACGCGGCAUGGCUGCAUCAGGCUUGCGCCCAUUGUGCAAUAUUCCCCA